CAGUUGGCUACUUUGUGAAGGAGUCAGUGCUCUGAGGAUCUGCCCAUGAGAAACAGCAAGAAGCUCUCUUGUAGGCACUGGAAGCCCUGAGGCCUCCCCUAAUUCUUCUCCAGACUGAACAACCCCAGGUCUCUUAGCCUGUCUCCACAGCAGAGCUGCUCCAGCCCUCAGAGCAUCAUCAUGGCCUCCCCUGGACUCACUCCAAAAGGUCUGUGUCCUUCAUAUACUGGGGGCCCCAGAGCUGAACACAGGACUUCAGGUGGGAUCUCACAGGACUUCUCCCUCACCUUCUGUCCAUGCUGCUUUUGAUGCAGCCCAGGUCACUUUUGGCACACUGAUGCACAACAAAAGCACAUUAAUGCACAUUUGGCUUUCUGGGCUCUGAGCACACAUUGCCAACUUAUGUUGAGCUUCUCGUCAACUAACACACCCAAGCAUUUCAGGGCUGCUUGAUUUCAAAUCAAAGUGCUAUUUCUAAACUUAUGGGAUGAUUUUCACCAAAGCUGAAUGUUAAAAGAAAGCCAAAUAGUUGGAAAAAGUACCAAGCCUAAUCCAAGAAACCUUAAGAGUAGACUGCAGGUUUUAAAAAACUCUCUUCUCUUAUGGCUUUUCCUUCAUGCCUACAAGUCCCUUUGAGAAUUCUGGAGUUGCCCAUUUUCUCUGCUAGGCCAGCUCAGUACAGCUGAGACUUUGCCAGGAGUCUGGGGUGGCUGCAGUUCUGCUUCAUCCCACACUGAUGUCAGCAGGUACUUCCGUGCACCGAGACUCAUGAUCCAAUAUGUCCAGCAACUGUGGGAAUUGUUGAACCUGCUGGAUGUGGAAAUGUGCAGAUUCUAUUCUAUGACUUUGAAGGUGACCAGAGAGGGAGUUUAUUUUGGAAACACAAGGGAAGUUAAGUCCUCAUGGGCUUCGGCCAGUUUGAACAGAAAUUUCUCAGCCAAUGUAAACCUGUUACAUCAUCAUGGUGACAGGCCCUAGGCAGACAAAAACAUUCUCUAGGUAAAACAGAUGAAAUUCCAUGAUGAAGGAAGGUGAGAGGGAAAUUCUUUUGAUCCUUUUCUGAAUGUAGAUGAUGCCAUGUACAUCAGCAAAAACAGGCUGGCAUGGGAUGCGUGCUGGGCCUCCAAAGUGGAGCUUUAUCAGUGAAGCUGAGCAAAUGGCCCUCAUCAGUUCCAUGAGACCUGAGCAACUCUUCCUCACCAUCUACAGCAAAGCACAGCAAGAGUGAGGACAGACAUCUGAAUGGUGUACCUGAAAUUCAGUCUCAUCUAAGAUAAUUUGGAGUAAGAAAUAGAACAGGAAAUAAGGUUUAUUUCUGCUUCCAUACUUCCAGAGCAAACACAUGUUCCCCUACCAUCCAGCAGUUCUGCUGCUUUCCAGCUGGGCUUGGAGGCUGCCUCUCUGUAAUGCCUCUAAAAGUGGUACUGAGGACCAACCCCUCUGAAAAGUGCCCCAGCUUAAAAGUGUCCUCUCUUUGUUCAGCUCUAUCGUGUCAGUUUGUGUCUUCAGAGACUGUAAAUUCUCAGGUGCUACAUAACAAAAAGUUUUGUCCUCUGCCUUGGGACAGAUGCUGCUGCUUCAUCUUCUGAACGAAGCUUCUCAGUGAGUUAGCAUCUGGUUUGUGCAGCAGGUUUGCUGUUUGUGAAGUGAAAGCCAUCUGAUUUCAUACUUUAAGCCUACAGCAUAUACACGUUCUUGUAACCAUAACACCCAGCACUCUUGCUGAGUAGCUGAACUUUCUGAAUUGCAGAAAGUUAAAAACAACCCCAAACAUUCAGUGAAAUUGCAUGAAAACAAAAUUCCCUCCUGCACUCACCCUUUGUAUGAGUCCAAAAGAGCUUUCUAUCAGUCCAGAAGAUUUCUUAAGGAAAAGGCUACUGUAACACUUUGAGACUGUUUUUACACAACUAUGAUAUGAAAUGCAUGUGAUGUAUGUGAUUGACCACUAAACUGCUGUCAUCUAUUGGAUGGGACUUUGAGCUAACUUGCCCUCUCUUCUUCAUCUUACAGCUGAACAACAGAUACCAGGUCUGAAAAGGAGCCAAGUUUCCUUCGUGGAAACUCCUCCUCUCAACAAGAUUGAUUUAACUCUGUGUUUUCUGUCUACAGCCCAGAAAGGCAACCAGAGAAGUAAAACAACAAGUAAUACUUGGAAACAAACUCAGAACUCAAAAGCAGUUUGCUUUAAAACAUUUUCCUCUUCAACUACUUUGCUUGGAAUGCUGAAGGUGAAUAAAGAUGAGAGGAUGCAGCAGGGAUUGAAUCAAGCAGCAAUUCAGGUUCAGGAGUGACUUAAGGAAUUAGUACUCAAAUCUUCAGAGCUCUUCCUGAAAAGCCAGUGACCUGACACAGAAGGUCCUGGCCUUCAGAUACUCCCCAGGGACAGAUGUCCAAGGUGGUGUCCACCUGUUAACUUGGGGGACUCGGCAGAAGGGAUCUCAUCCAGCUAAGCCAAGGUCGGUCAGGGAGCUCAGGGGCAGGCAGGGGACAGUGAGGCAGCAGGGGAACACAGAGGCACAGCUGGUGGCCAACAGCACCCCCCUCCACCAGUGCCUGGUGGGAACAGCAGCUUGGGGAUGGGGUUACCUGGUCACCAGCAGGAACCUUUACGGAGGUGGGGUAACCUUGGAAGGUAUCAGCAUUGUUGCUAGGCAGGAAAAGCAAUGAACCUGGAAGAGAAGACUGAGUUGAUGGUUACACUUGAUGAUCUUCAAUGUCUUUUCCAACUGAAGAGAUUCCAUGAUUCUUUGACUGGUGACCAGCUCAGCUAUUGACUGCCAGUAACCAGCCCAGUAUGGAAGAUUUGAACUGACCUCACUACACUUCAGCAAGGACAAGGAAUUGGACAUGGUUUGGCUUACAGAGCAAUACCCAGUGACACCCCGCUCUGUUAUCCUUCUCUUUCUUCCCAUAUUUGCUGGAAUUGCCUAUGUGCAGGUGGGAAAGUGCUGUCCCUUAUGCACCCAGCUGGUUUAAUCCAGUCUCCCAUAUUCUUAUUAAUGUAUUUGGAUAUUACCUGAAGGAGAACCCCUGGGAAUUAAACCUGGCCCCUGUUACUGCCAGUCAGCGGGAAGGCAAGAGGUUUACAUUAGAUUAACAUUUAAUCUGAAUGCUUGUCAACAUAAAAAAUUGCUUAUUUCAGUCACAUGUUCUGAACAUGCAUAAGGCAUACACAUCAUUUAAAACUGACAGGAGACAUAUAAAUCUCUUUCAUUUUACUGCACCAACGUUGAGUCUAAGAUAAAGAAACGUACAAAAAUAAUCUUAUCCUGCACUUAAUCCUCCAUUCUUCUGACUUGCAAAAAUACACCCAUUUUCUCAACAAAAUUACAUCAAUGUUAUAUUUCUGACAAUGAAAUAAAAUAAUGAAAUUUUCAAAAUAUAAAAA